AGGACAGAGCCGGAGCCGCAGAGACACAGUAACGAUAACAGCAGCAGCAGCUGAGUGCGACUGUACGCCGCCAUCUUCACACCACUGUCAAGCUAGUCCUAAUGACACAGCAUCGCUUCCGGUGGCGCAGUUGGCAGGUGUAGAACUGGGCUGUCAAUGACUGAACAGCGCCACCGUGUGGUGAAUCUGCAACCUGCUAAACAUGAGCGAGGAAGAAAGACAAAUGGUUUCACAGACACUACAAUAUUCACAAUUCAACCCUAAAAGACACGAAAAAGGUGUUUCAGCAGCUGAAUAUGAUGGGAACCAGUAAGAGCAAUAAAUCCUCCCAGUUUGGAGCUGACAGCUGCUGGGAGGCCGUUUCUGGUUCACCUCCAGCGACACGUCCCACCUGCUCUCACAGUCACUUACAACUUUUAUUUUGAAGGUAUAUUAUGUUGGGGGUUUCUUUUUACCUUGAGCCACACGCUUCUCUUAUUAAGCUACAUUUUAUUGAUCGGACUGAGAGUCUAAACAUGUCAGUUAAGGUUGACGCAUCUCUUCACAGACCUCUUUGUGAACAGGUCUGACUAUUUUUUUCACUUCAGAGAAAAUUGAAAACUGUUCAUGACUUACAUGCACGUCCUGAGUUCUUCAAAUGCCAUGUUUUGAUGCUUUGAGCGCCAUAAACAGCAUUUAAUUUACCUCCAUUAUGUUGCUGGUGGUAGCAGAAGUUACAGCAUAUUGUGACUUACAACCAAAUGAAAAAUUAAAAUCAAAAAGUCAGACUUGCAGAUGGUUUCAGUUUGUAAACAACAGCUUUUAUUGCCUUUUAUCUUCAUUUUAACUGGCGUGUAUACCUUCCAAACAGUUCUCAUCUGAAGCUGGCUUCUUUAAAUUUUAUUUAAUUUAUAUUUAAGAAAAAGUAUCAAAACUCUUAUUGCUUUGUCAUCUUUCUUUACACUAAGCACAACUUGCUUUUAGAGUAUUAUAAAAUACUUUUAAGAUAAGUAGUAUCGUGAUGGUUGCUUUUACGUGAGUCACUAUCAAGCAAGAUAUAUUUAUUUUUUACGGAGCUAUGAAUGGAUUUGUGCAGUCUGUGAAAUAGCAGGAAUGAAACAAACUCACAGACAGAUGAAAGGAGCAGUCAGCUGUUACAGACUACAGCUGAGCUGAGUCAAAGGAAACCAAGGACAGCAGAAAAAUCCCUCCACAGUUUAGGAAACUGAGCUUUCAUUGUCUUUAGGAGAUCAUGUGUUGGCUGGUUUCAUUUUCUCUUCAAAUAUCACAGAUGGCUCUUUAUAAAUAUCAGACUUUGUCUCCUGAUAGCAGAGUUCGGAUUUUAACCCUUCAGUCACGAACUUACAUCCUUCACUUGUAGUAAUAUCAGAACACAGUAUGAUAGUAAUUUACAGUUCCCUCAUAAGGUUUUACUCAGACUUUUACACAAAUCCCAUAGAAAGACCAAAACCAAUGCGUUAAUGCAUUUCAUAAUACUUCCCAUCUGUCCCUCAGCUCCGAGCCCAUUGGUUCCUAUUGAAGAUGUAAAUCUUUA